GGUAACGCAAUUAUUUCAUUUUGAUUACUAAAAUUGUACACCUUGAAAGGCUAAAAGCCGUCACAAUCUAAGGUUCAGUUGAAAACUGUAGAUGAACCAGAAGCACCGACACAAUAUAAACAAAAAUAACAGAUACACCAAUAAGUCGUUACUAAGGGAAACUGGUUAACUGAAGGAAGCGAAAACAUUAACAAAAUCAAAGACAAUCUUAUCAUUGAAAUCUUACCCUUUCGUCAUCUUUUGUUAGCUCAAUUAAUGCUGACAUGUUAACAUUAACAUUGAACAUUAGUUACAAAAUGAACUAAAAAGAUGAUUCAAAAGGACAGAAAUUUUCACCGCCAAUUUGGCUACAUUAACCGCAAAAUUGAUAGCCAAUAGGAAAGAGGCAUUUUAUUGUAAACCAGAUUACCAGAAAACAAAAGGCUUUUGGAAGAGACAAAAUGGCUGAACCAAUGAUUAACACUUUUUUUUCCUUCUCAAGUUUCAAUUUCUCGUCAAUUUUGUUCAAGAUUCAUUUUCAUCUAAAUUGUCUUGUUAUUUUAUCUAACUAUCUGUUUGAUUAGUUAAGCAUUCAACAUCUUCUUCUGAAUUGAGGAUUGAUUAAACCAUUUAUCAAGUGAAUUUUAUGUUGUAUCACAGCGUUUCCGAUUCAAGGCUGAUAUCGGGACUGGUUUACCAUUACUCUAACAGCAUGGAAAAACGUUAAAAGCGUUGUAUUGAUUAAAUACACAUUAUUCUGGUUUUUCAAAGAGAUGUUCAGAUUUGUAUUCAUAGAGAAGGAAAAAUAUGUUUAGUAUUAUCGUCACAAUCAUCAUCAUCAUAAUGAUAAUCAUACUGUUGAUGAUGAAAAUGAUGAUUAUUGCUUGUUGAUUGUCGGUUUCUUUACCAAUCUCCCUGUGAACAUGAAACACUUAACUUUACUCAAGAGCGUAUUAAUGGAAGGAAUCAAGUGCCAAAGAGAAGAUUUCUUGUUAUUGAGUUAAUGGUUUCACAUUGCUGUUUUCAUGAGACCAAGAAAAAGUGACGACGAUUACUGCACUGACAAGCUGACCUUAACAAUUAUUUAGACUAUCAAUGACAGUUUUUCGUGGUAUUUGAUUAGCAAAAUGACAAGCUAGAUCAGUUUUCAUUAAUGUUUCUGGAUUAGAAAAAUGUCUUUCUUUUAUAACGACUUUCUGGCUCAACUAUUCUGUUUAACAUUAGCACAGUUACUAAUUAAGUGUUGACAGAACUGACCAGAUUAUCAUUUUUAAAUUAAUAUUUUAUAUAUGCUAAUAUUUCGCUUCUUUUCAUCACUUUUUAUUUUCUUUAAAAAUUGAAAUCUCAUUUCAUCUUGUAAUACAUUACAUAGAUUUACAUUGAUCAACAUUUGAUUGCGUGAUUUUCAAACCAUAAUAGCUAAAUUUUUGGUUUGACAUUAAUCUAACUGAAAUGAACACGACAAGCUUUGAUAUUUGAUAUUUUAAAUGUUUGAUAGCGAGAAAAAUGUAUUAUGAAUAAUUUAGAUGCAAAUUUAUACAUUUUCACUCCCAAAAUUAAAUGAUAUUAAUCAAACUUAUUGCAGCAAUAUAAAUGUAUUCAGCGAUUUAAAUGGUGUAUUCAUUUAGCAAAGACAAAUAAAUCAUUCUGUGAUAAAUCAACUUGUGCUUGUCAUUCAAUAUAUCAAAUUGAGUAACUUGAUUGAUUUCAUGAUUCUAUAAACAAGUUCCAACUUAAAUAUAUUAACUGAAGUUAAGGUUGAGUCACCCUUGAUGACUCUUCAAAUUGAUAAAAUGUGAUAAUCUAAAAGCUCGAUCAGUGAAACUUGCAUUGAUUUCACCUGAUUUCAACUUUUAGGGACAUAAGAAUUGGAACUAUUCGGUUAAUUGAAAAUUUCUCUGAUCAAAGAUUUUCGAUGAAAUCGCUUUCAAAAUUCAAACUUGAAUUUCAAUUUGUUCAGCUGUAGAACCAGAUUUUUUUGUUAUUUUUUAGUCUUACUCAUUUACGAUGUUUCUUUUUCUAGUUACUUAUCACUUGGUUCGUGUAAAUCAAUUGUCGAGCAAAUGUUUGAUAAAGUUUAUAUUAAUAACUUUCUUAUUAACUCAAUACAGAUC